rnacentral:rRNA from 1 species
CCAGCUCCAAUAGCGUAUACUAAAGUUGUUGCAGUUAAAAAGCUCGUAGUUGAAUUUCUGGUUUCGGGACUCGGUCAGCCCCUAGGGGUUUGUACCUGUGGCACGAUACCAUCUAUGAGGAUUUUCUAUCUGUCAUUGAGUUGAUGGGUAGAAGGGCCUCGUCAUUUACUGUGAGCAAAAUAGAGUGUUCAAAGCAGGCUUAUGCCGUUGAAUACAUUAGCAUGGAAUAAUAAGAUAAGACCUUGGUCUAUUUUGUUGGUUAGUACUCCAAGGUAAUGAUUAAUAGGGACAGUUGGGGGUAUUCGUAUUCAAUUGUCAGAGGUGAAAUUCUUGGAUUUAUGGAAGACGAACAACUGCGAAAGCAUUUACCAAGGAUGUUUUCA